GUGGGAGCUGCGGAGAACAUCGCGGGAACACUUUCUCCGAUUUCAAACGUAAAAAUGCCUUCAAAGUUUCUGAAACAAAUCAAAACGGCUGCAGCAGAAGAGGUGACAGACCCCGCGGCCCAUGAGGUGUGAAAGCGAGAAUGAUGAGUGCCAAUCUUCAGAAUGACGAGGUGGCAGUGCCCAGUUUAAGCAGGGUCAUGGAACAACUCUUCCCUCCGUGAAAAGACCUCCAUGGAGACAGAAAUAACUCUGGGCCAUGUCUCAGUAGAACCAUACCUUAUCCCGAUCGACGUGACCAACCAAUAGGGAAGGACAUGUUUUCCAGUGGUCAUUCCAUUCUGCUACACUAGGAUGCGAAUCCUACCAAACUGGAGCGCCACCUGUUCACACAUGUAGUGCCUUCAUAGCUUUUUGUUAGAAAUAUCUUUUUGUAAACUACCGGUAUGAAAUUACGUUCACCUGUAAUUCUAAUGGUUUUUGCAUUGAAAGUGACAUCUUUAUUACACAAUGUACAUUAAUUUCGAUAAGAUUGUCCGUGUUUGCAAUGAUGCAGGUUUGCAUUGAAACAACUUGGUGUACUGUAAGAUUUCUAUUGUGCCAUAGUUAUCUCUCCUUACCUUAUAUUGAGUUUUGCUUGAAUGUUCUGACAUGAUUGAUGCAAAAUAAAGUUA